AGCAGCUGGGCAUGACAAGCCCUUGACAAUGAAGCUGCUGUUCCAGGCUCUGCACCACCAAACAUCAGAUGAAAGUAUCCGGGUAAAGUCAUGCAAAAUAGAAUGCAAAUGAGUCUGGCAAAACUUAAGGCUUCAGACUGGCAAGUGGGCACUUUGUGGGGGAAGAGAUGGCAGCCUCUGGAAAACAUGUUGGGCAAGGUCUCUUCUGGUCAAAAGCUCUGAGUAUGCCCUGGGGGAGGGGAGGUUGGCUCCUGAGGCCACCAAGCAGAUACCUGGCUUCUUUCAAAGUCUGCGGUGGCCAAUUUAACUUAUCAGUCACUCUUUAAUUUCCUGACGCUGGUCUGAACAUCAAGCAAAUGAUACAUACUUUCAAACUUUAAAUAAGGGCUUAUUCACAUCAAAAUCAGUUAGUCCCUUCAAAGCCACACCCAUGUCCAGGGAUGCAUGGCUUGAAGCUCCCCGAGAGCUCUCCUGAGGGGGACAGCUGGGUCCAGGUAGGCCAGCCCUCCUUCAGCUCUUAGAGUGAAAGAGGUUCCAGGUGGUGGCUUUAAGGGCAUCUGAGAACUUACCUGUGUGUAAUCUGCACACCGAAUUAGGAAGGCUGGGUGAUAUCUGGGACAGAGGAUCGCAUCAUGGGUCCAUUUAGCUCCUCAAAUGCAUCAGCUGGUGCCCCUGGCAAUGUCCUAUGCCCUCUGCCUUAGAGACUCUAAAACCAAACUCUGCUGUCUCCCAGCCUCUCUAGAGGCUAAGGGUGCUCCUGUGACCUGAUUCUGGCCAUUAAGACAGAAGCAGCAGUCGGCCUGAGGAGAGAUUCCAGCAAAAUUCUUGCUUUCUUUUUCUGCCCUUAAUAUGGACAUGAGGUCUGAAGCAGCAGCCGCCAGUCUGCAGGAAGAUGGGAGCCCACGUGCCAAGGAGAUGGAGCAGGAUCAGAGUGAGAGCCCCAGGGCCCAACAGCAUCACCACACAAGGUGC
rnacentral:lncRNA from 1 species